GCCAGUGUGGCAUAGUGGUUUGAGCGUUGGACUGUGACUCUCAAAACCAGGGUUUGAAUCUCAGCUCAGCCA